CCUACGGGCGGCUGCAGUGGGGGAUAUUGCACAAUGGGGGAAACCCUGAUGCAGCGACGCCGCGUGAGUGAAGAAGUAUUUCUGUAUGUAAAGCUCUAUCAGCAGGGAAGAAAAUGACAGUACCUGACCAAGAAGCCACGUCUAACUACGUUCCAGCAGCCGCGGUAAUACGUAGGGGGCAAGCGUUAUCCGGAUUUACUGGGUGUAAUGGGAGCGUAGGCGGUUUUGUAAGUCUGGAGUGAAAGCCUGGGGCCCAACCCCGGGACUGCUUUUGAAACUGUGUAACUGGAGUACAGGUGGGGCAGGCGGAAUGCGUGGUGUAGCGGUGAAAUGGGUAGAUAUCAGGAGGAACACCGGCGGCGAAGGCGGCCUGCUGGACUGAAACUGACGUUGAGGCUCGAAAGCGUGGGGAGCAAACAGGAUUAGAUACCCGGGUAGUC
rnacentral:rRNA from 1 species